rnacentral:rRNA from 6 species
GGUUAAGCGACUAAGCGUACACGGUGGAUGCCCUGGCAGUCAGAGGCGAUGAAGGGCGUGCUAAUCUGCGAUAAGCGCCGGUAAGGUGAUAUGAACCGUUAUAACCGGCGAUACCCGAAUGGGGAAACCCAGUGUGAUUCGUCACACUAUCAUUAACUGAAUCCAUAGGUUAAUGAGGCGAACCGGGGGAACUGAAACAUCUAAGUACCCCGAGGAAAAGAAAUCAACCGAGAUUCCCCCAGUAGCGGCGAGCGAACGGGGAGGAGCCCAGAGCCUGAAUCAGCAUGUGUGUUAGUGGAAGCGUCUGGAAAGGCGCGCGAUACAGGGUGACAGCCCCGUACACAAAAGCGCAUGUGCUGUGAGCUCGAUGAGUAGGGCGGGACACGUGGUAUCCUGUCUGAAUAUGGGGGGACCAUCCUCCAAGGCUAAAUACUCCUGACUGACCGAUAGUGAACCAGUACCGUGAGGGAAAGGCGAAAAGAACCCCGGCGAGGGGAGUGAAAAAGAACCUGAAACCGUGUACGUACAAGCAGUGGGAGCCCCACCACUAAGCCAGUGGUGAACUCCACAUCCGCAUCCUUUGCUGAGGAUACGGUUAACGGAGCGAAAGCGACGUUCAACCGCAAAACAAGCAGAGGGGGCUUAGUGGUGGGGUGACUGCGUACCUUUUGUAUAAUGGGUCAGCGACUUAUAUUCUGUAGCAAGGUUAACCGAAUAGGGGAGCCGGAGGGAAACCGAGUCUUAAUUGGGCGUUAAGUUGCAGGGUAUAGACCCGAAACCCGGUGAUCUAGCCAUGGGCAGGUUGAAGGUUGGGUAACACUAACUGGAGGACCGAACCGACUAAUGUUGAAAAAUUAGCGGAUGACCUGUGGCUGGGGGUGAAAGGCCAAUCAAACCGGGAGAUAGCUGGUUCUCCCCGAAAGCUAUUUAGGUAGCGCCUCGUGAAUUCAUCUCCGGGGGUAGAGCACUGUUUCGGCUAGGGGGCCAUCCCGGCUUACCAACCCGAUGCAAACUGCGAAUACCGGAGAAUGUUAUCACGGGAGACACACGGCGGGUGCUAACGUCCGUCGUGAAGAGGGAAACAACCCAGACCGCCAGCUAAGGUCCCAAAGUCAUGGUUAAGUGGGAAACGAUGUGGGAAGGCCCAGACAGCCAGGAUGUUGGCUUAGAAGCAGCCAUCAUUUAAAGAAAGCGUAAUAGCUCACUGGUCGAGUCGGCCUGCGCGGAAGAUGUAACGGGGCUAAACCAUGCACCGAAGCUGCGGCAGCGAACGUAUCACCCAAGACAACUUUACGGAGUUGACGAUUGACGGAGCGAAGCGACGUCAAAGCGUUCAUUAAAGUCGAGUUGGCUUAGGGAUACGUUCGUUGGGUAGGGGAGCGUUCUGUAAGCCUGUGAAGGUGUGUCGUGAGGCAUGCUGGAGGUAUCAGAAGUGCGAAUGCUGACAUAAGUAACGAUAAAGCGGGUGAAAAGCCCGCUCGCCGGAAGACCAAGGGUUCCUGUCCAACGUUAAUCGGGGCAGGGUGAGUCGACCCCUAAGGCGAGGCCGAAAGGCGUAGUCGAUGGGAAACGGGUUAAUAUUCCCGUACUUGGUGUUACUGCGAAGGGGGGACGGAGAAGGCUAUGUUGGCCGGGCGACGGUUGUCCCGGUUUAAGCGUGUAGGUGUGUGUUCCAGGUAAAUCCGGUUCACUUUAACACUGAGGCGUGACGACGAGGCACUACGGUGCUGAAGCAACAAAUGCCCUGCUUCCAGGAAAAGCCUCUAAGCAUCAGGUAACACGAAAUCGUACCCCAAACCGACACAGGUGGUCAGGUAGAGAAUACCAAGGCGCUUGAGAGAACUCGGGUGAAGGAACUAGGCAAAAUGGUGCCGUAACUUCGGGAGAAGGCACGCUGACACGUAGGUGAAGUGAUUUACUCAUGGAGCUGAAGUCAGUCGAAGAUACCAGCUGGCUGCAACUGUUUAUUAAAAACACAGCACUGUGCAAACACGAAAGUGGACGUAUACGGUGUGACGCCUGCCCGGUGCCGGAAGGUUAAUUGAUGGGGUCAGCGCAAGCGAAGCUCCUGAUCGAAGCCCCGGUAAACGGCGGCCGUAACUAUAACGGUCCUAAGGUAGCGAAAUUCCUUGUCGGGUAAGUUCCGACCUGCACGAAUGGCGUAAUGAUGGCCAGGCUGUCUCCACCCGAGACUCAGUGAAAUUGAACUCGCUGUGAAGAUGCAGUGUACCCGCGGCAAGACGGAAAGACCCCGUGAACCUUUACUAUAGCUUGACACUGAACAUUGAGCCUUGAUGUGUAGGAUAGGUGGGAGGCUUUGAAGUGUGGACGCCAGUCUGCAUGGAGCCGACCUUGAAAUACCACCCUUUAAUGUUUGAUGUUCUAACGUGGACCCGUAAUCCGGGUUGCGGACAGUGUCUGGUGGGUAGUUUGACUGGGGCGGUCUCCUCCUAAAGAGUAACGGAGGAGCACGAAGGUUGGCUAAUCCUGGUCGGACAUCAGGAGGUUAGUGCAAUGGCAUAAGCCAGCUUGACUGCGAGCGUGACGGCGCGAGCAGGUGCGAAAGCAGGUCAUAGUGAUCCGGUGGUUCUGAAUGGAAGGGCCAUCGCUCAACGGAUAAAAGGUACUCCGGGGAUAACAGGCUGAUACCGCCCAAGAGUUCAUAUCGACGGCGGUGUUUGGCACCUCGAUGUCGGCUCAUCACAUCCUGGGGCUGAAGUAGGUCCCAAGGGUAUGGCUGUUCGCCAUUUAAAGUGGUACGCGAGCUGGGUUUAGAACGUCGUGAGACAGUUCGGUCCCUAUCUGCCGUGGGCGCUGGAGAACUGAGGGGGGCUGCUCCUAGUACGAGAGGACCGGAGUGGACGCAUCACUGGUGUUCGGGUUGUCAUGCCAAUGGCACUGCCCGGUAGCUAAAUGCGGAAGAGAUAAGUGCUGAAAGCAUCUAAGCACGAAACUUGCCCCGAGAUGAGUUCUCCCUGAGACUUAGAGUCUCCUGAAGGAACGUUGAAGACGACGACGUUGAUAGGCCGGGUGUGUAAGCGCAGCGAUGCGUUGAGCUAACCGGUACUAAUGAACCGUGAGGCUUAACCUU